rnacentral:tRNA from 1 species
GGGCGAGUGGUGGAAGUGGUAUACACGACGGACUUAAAAUCCGUCGCCCCAUCUGGGGCUUGUGGGUUCGAGUCCCACCUCGCCCA